rnacentral:rRNA from 1 species
UGGGGAAUAUUGGACAAUGGGCGAAAGCCUGAUCCAGCAAUGCCGCGUGAGUGAUGAAGGCCUUAGGGUUGUAAAGCUCUUUUACCCGGGAAGAUAAUGACUGUACCGGGAGAAUAAGCUCCGGCUAACUCCGUGCCAGCAGCCGCGGUAAUACGGAGGGAGCUAGCGUUGUUCGGAAUUACUGGGCGUAAAGCGCACGUAGGCGGCUUUGUAAGUUAGAGGUGAAAGCCUGGAGCUUAACUCCAGAACUGCCUUUAAGACUGCAUCGCUUGAAUCCGGGAGAGGUGAGUGGAAUUCCGAGUGUAGAGGUGAAAUUCGUAGAUAUUCGGAAGAACACCAGUGGCGAAGGCGGCUCACUGGACCGGUAUUGACGCUGAGGUGCGAAAGCGUGGGGAGCAAACA